AAAACGUUAGGCAGAUAUCCUCGCUGCUCUGUGCGCCGCGACCGGGCCCGCUGCGGUAGACGGGGCCCUGCACUUCCAAAUCUGACAGACCGAGACUGCCUGAGAAGAGACUCCCUGACCCACCAACCCUCAGAGACCUCCACGUCAGCCCCAGCGCGUGGCGUUUUGUGGAGUUCUUUCACUCCAUUUGCACCCAAGUUCAUUUUAAGUGGGCUAGCUUCCUUCUUCUCCUGCCAGAUUUACGUCAACUGCCAGGCCCAACCUUCAGGCAUCCUCUUCUGCCCCCAAGUUCUGAGCUGUUGGAUUAUGGCCCACAGUCAAGUGGAUUUAUUCGCUCUGCGAAGGUAGUUGUUAACAUCACUCACCUGGUAGGUUUGCAUGAGAACUGAAUGAGACAAUGCAUAUCAACGUAGAAGCUCUACCCCUGGACACAUAGCCCCAGUAAUGUAUAUUCACCUGCUUGAAGGGAGAAGCAAAGCUUUAAGUUCCUGGAUUUCUGCCUCCCUGAUCCACCCUCCCCACUCUCCUUUCCAGGCGACUCAUUUUUCAGGCUCAAAGAGGCCUUCUCAUUCCAAAGCUGUUCCUUGCUGUUGACCUCUCUCAUAGGACUGGCAGUUAGAUGAAUGAAUGAGUAGAAAUAAGUAGCAUUAGCAA